rnacentral:rRNA from 1 species
GACGAACGCUGGCGGCGUGCUUAACACAUGCAAGUCGAGCGGUAAGGCCCUUUCGGGGGUACACGAGCGGCGAACGGGUGAGUAACACGUGGGUGACCUGCCCUCAGCUCUGGGAUAAGCCUGGGAAACCGGGUCUAAUACUGGAUAUGACUCCAUGACGCAUGUUGUGGGGUGGAAAGCCUUGUGCGGCUGAGGAUGGGCCCGCGGCCUAUCAGCUUGUUGGUGGGGUGAUGGCCUACCAAGGCGACGACGGGUAGCCGGCCUGAGAGGGCGACCGGCCACACUGGGACUGAGGCACGGCCCAGACUCUUACGGGAGGGCAGCAGUGGGGGAAUCUUGCGCAAUGGGCGAAAGCCUGACGCAGCGACGCCGCGUGAGGGAUGACGGCCUCGUGUAC